rnacentral:rRNA from 1 species
UACAGAGGGUGCAAGCGUUGUCCGGAAUCACUGGGCGUAAAGGGCGCGUAGGCGGCCUGAUAAGUCGGGGGUGAAAUCCUGCGGCUUAACCGCAGGGCUGCCUUCUAAACUGUCGAGCUUGAGCACGGUAGAGGCAGAUGGAAUUCCCGGUGUAGCGGUGGAAUGCGUAGAGAUCGGGAAGAACAUCAGUGGCGAAGGCGGUCUGCUGGGCCGUUGCUGACGCUGAGGCGCGACAGCGUGGGGAGCAAACAGG